UUCUGCUAAAUACAUAAACAUAAACAUAAAACAUUCUCAGGUCUCCGGUAGCCAUAGAGAAAAAUUCAAAGACCUAUCAGACCUCUGCCUAAAAGGGUGUCAGGAAAAUCUCCGUCAGACAAAAAGGUCUCAGGAAAAACUCUGUCAGACAUCAGAAAUAAAUAUUUUUUCUGACACUUUUCCUAAGUCCUUUUUGUCUGAUGGAGGUUUUCCAGAGACCCUUUUUUCCUGACAGACUUUUUCCUAAUUAAAUGAUAAAUUACCUGCACUUGUAUAACGCCUUUCAGAGUCAGAGGACUCCAAAGCACUUUACACUAUAGUGCAGGGGUGUCAAACUCAUUUUAGCUCAGGGGCCACAUUGAGGGAAAUCUAGUCCCAAGUGGGCCGGACCGGUAAAUAAAAAAAAAAACUUCAGAUUGUUUUCUUUGUUUUAAUACAAUCAAUAUAAAACAAAGUUGGAGUCUGAGGACAGUGUAGUACAAGUACAACACCUGAAGUGUACUUGAAAAUUUGAAAAAAAAAAAAACAAAUAAUAAUAAUAAAAAUCAACAAAUAAAAAAAACAUUCCUUAGUGAUUCAAAGAGCUUACAGAUCACAUGGUUAGAUCAGUUUCAUGCAGCACUUAAAGUAUAUUUGACUCAUUUUACUUUACAUCAUUUAGCUUUCACCAGCACAUCAAUAUCAGAAGUCACAUCCUGAGUGGCGGUGUUGUGUGACGGGGUGAGUACUCCCUCUUCUCCACAACAUCUUUGUAAGACUGUCAUUCCAGGAGAGGGCACUCACCAGCUGUGGGGCAUUACCGAUCAGCGGCAGCUGCAGAUCCUCUAAUCAACCGCAGCAGAGCUCUAUUUAAGAGGAGAGGGAACCACUUCACAUCGCUGGAUGAUUAACUACUCACGGAUACUUGGAAUCGCUGAACCACAGAUGGAUGUACCUACCUGGAAGUCACCAUAACCCGCCUGGAUUACACACUCAAGGUUCACCUCUCCUCCAGCUUCACUUGCCCUCUGCCGCCAUCAUCUGGCUCCCUCUCCUGGACGUACCCCGUCACACCGUUUGCCCUCCCUGCUGGCUUUUGGACUCUUGCCGACUACUUCACACUUGGAUAUCUCCAGGACACUUUUAGUUAGGGUUAAUAAAUCAUUGUUUGAACUUUC